AACUGCGAGUGAAGCGGGAAAAGCUCAAAUUUAAAAUCUAAUGGUCUUUGGCCAUUCGAGUUGUAAUUUAGAGAAGCGUCUUCCGCGCCAGACCAUGUACAAGUCUCCUGGAACGGAGCGUCGUAGAGGGUGAGAAUCCCGUCUUUGACAUGGACCCUUGGUGCUUCUGUGAUGCGCUCUCAAAGAGUCGAGUUGUUUGGGAAUGCAGCUCAAAAUGGGUGGUGAACUCCAUCUAAGGCUAAAUAUUGGCGAGAGACCGAUAGCGAACAAGUACCGUGAGGGAAAGAUGAAAAGCACUUUGGAAAGAGAGUGAAACAGUACGUGAAAUUGUUGAAAGGGAAACACUUGAAGUCAGUCGCGUCGAUCGAGACUCAGCCUUGCCUUGGGCUCGGCGUACUUCUCGACUUGACGGGCCAGCAUCAAUUUCGUCCCUCGGAUAAUGGCAGGGGAAAGGUGGCACCUUCACGGGUGUGUUAUAGUCUCUUGUCGCAUACGAGGGGUGGGAUUGAGGAACUCAGCACGCGCCUCACGGUGUCGGGGCUUCGGCCC
rnacentral:rRNA from 1 species